rfam:Schistosoma haematobium scaffold946_6, whole genome shotgun sequence.
AUCCAGCUGACGAGUCCCAAAUAGAACGAAACUCAUGUCUUGCAU